AAGGAUUUGGUUUUGUAAGAUACAGCACCCAUGAUGAGGCAGCUUUGGCAAUUCAAAUGGGAAAUGCCCAAUCAAUUUUGUGUGGGAGACAGAUUAAGUGUUCUUGGGGUAACAAACCAACACCACCUGGAACAGCCUCAAAUCCUCUUCCACCACCAGCUGCAGCGCCAUUAGGCCUUACUGCCACUGAUCUUUUGACUUAUGAACGGCAGCUAGCUAUGAGUAAGAUGGCUGGUGUUCAUGCCCUCAUGCAA
rnacentral:misc_RNA from 1 species